rnacentral:rRNA from 1 species
GACGAACGCUGGCGGCAUGCCUAACACAUGCAAGUCGAACGAGACCGUCGGGUCUGGUGGCGCACGGGUGCGUAACGCGUGGGAACCUGCCCUUAGGUUCGGAAUAACUCCCCGAGAGGGGUGCUAAUACCGGAUAAUGUCUUCGGACCAAAGAUUUAUCGCCUUUGGAUGGGCCCGCGUUGGUUUAGCUAGUUGGUAGGGUAAAAGCCUACCACGGCGAGGAUCCAUAGCUGGGCUGAGAGGAUGAUCAGCCACACUGGGACUGAGACACGGCCCAGACUCCUACGGGAGGCAGCAGUGGGGAAUAUUGGACAAUGGGCGAAAGCCUGAUCCAGCAAUGCCGCGUGAGUGAUGAAGGCCUUAGGGUCGUAAAGCUCUUUUAACCGGGAUGAUAAUGACAGUACCGGGAGAAUAAGCGCCGGCUAACUCCGUG